UCUAGCUCAUGAGCCCUUGAGGGACACUCUAGACUUAAACUAUAUAGCAAAAGAUUCCCUCUAGAGCGGAUGUUUGAGGCUUAGUUUAUGAUCAUAUCUGUACUUACUCAUGAUGACAAUAUGUACUAUAUGACCAUGGAAUGUAUGCUUGAAGAUCCAUGAAGAUCAAGUUGGAAACAAAUCCUAUGCGAGAUGCUGAACAACAAUGGGGAGAGAACUUGCCUACCAAUCAAGAAAACCUUUCUUGGGCCAUUAGUGACUAUCCCCAAAGCGAUUGAAUUUCACUCUCUCCAACCCAUUCCUAGCUGGCACCUGCAUGUCUGACAUUCACAUUUUGGUGUGCAAAGAAAACUGAUGCAGGGAACAACAGCAUAUUAGCACCAAAAAUACA